GGCCCUAUGGUCAAGCGGUUAAGACAUCGCCCUCUCACGGCGGUAACCCGGGUUCGAAUCCCGGUAGGGUCACCA
rnacentral:tRNA from 1 species